rnacentral:rRNA from 1 species
UACGAAGGGGGCUAGCGUUGUUCGGAAUUACUGGGCGUAAAGCGCGCGCAGGCGGCCAUUCAAGUCGGGGGUGAAAUCCCAGAGCUCAACUCUGGAAUUGCCUUCGAGACUGUCUGGCUUCGAGUACGGGAGAGGUGAGUGGAAUUCCCAGUGUAGAGGUGAAAUUCGUAGAUAUUGGGAAGAACACCGGUGGCGAAGGCGGCUCACUGGCCCGUUACUGACGCUCAGGCGCGACAGCGUGGGGAUCAAACAGG